UUGUAAAUUGUGUGAAAUAAGGAAUAAGGAAGAAAGGGAAAAGAUAAGGAAUAAAAAUUAAACCAAUAUCAAUUUAUUCCUGUUGGUAUUUUCUAUGAGUGAUUCUAACAGUUGUCAGAUGGGCACCAGUUAAUAGAUGUAACAUACUAUAAAAUUGCACAUACUAAUUAUUAUUACCCUAUUUUGUAUUUAUACACUUUUUCUAAUUAAUUUCAUUUUUUAUAAAAUUUAAAACCUAAAACAAAUCUUAACAAAUGUACAGCGGAUAUUUGUUAGAUAGGGCUAUUUUCUAUAUUUUAUUUAUAUAUAAUUAAAAUUGUGACAUAUGAUGUCAACCAAUUCUCUGGUUUUUGAACCCUGAACCAAUCGAUUGAACUAAUUGACACUUGAUCCCUGAACCCACCCAAGUCGACAUUCAUUUGGUCCAAAUUUCAAAACAUAGCUUUCAAGCGUACAACAAAUUCACUCAUUAACAUAUCUUCAGCACAAAUCAGAAGUGAAGUAGUUUUUAUUAUCAUUUAUAGGGAUAGCAAUGGGUCGGGUGACUAGCGGGCACCCGUCCCGCAGGGGACUGUCGGGGCGGGCGUUGGAGCGGGGGCGGGGGGAAAUUUUAUUCCCCUAUCUAGAAACGGGGCGGGGGUCCCCCGCCCCAACCCCCGCCUCGUCCCCCACCAAAAAAAUAUAUACAUACAUACAUAUAUAUAUAUAUACACACACACACACACACAAGUAACAAAAGAACAAACGAAGAAACGAACCUCCAUACUUCUCACACCCUCUCUACAGAUAAUAACAAACCAUGACCAGAUUUUGAGUCUUCCCCAGCAGACUUCUCAUCAUCAUCAACAACUAAUGCAUAAUUUAAACUAGGCCCACUAGCUACUUUGCCAACAGGAGUAAAAUUGUCAGCGUCUACCAAAUCAUCAGCAACAUUGAAAUGCAAACUAGGCUCACCGCAACUUUGUUGAUAUUUCUGCUUCAAUCGUUGUUGAUUACCAGCACCAAAUCUUCCAGAACAUCCAGAUGCUGGGCUCUUCAGAUUUGCCCUCAAAUCUGAAGAAAGUUUCGACCUUUGGGAAGAAGUUUUUGAAGUGGGCCUUCUAGCGGAUUGCCACUGGGAAAGGAAAGAAGGGUUCUUUCUAAAACAUUGUGAAGACGAUUUUUUAGGCACAUCAUUUUCGUUAGCAAUGGAUUUAUUAGAUCAAGGCCUGGAGGAAUUAGGACCUAAUUUUGGGGCGGACUUGGCAAGGAGGGGUUUAUUUUUGAGUUUGAAAUUGGGAUCCUUCUGAAGAUGGGAACUCGAAGAAGAAGAAGAGGAGCGAGGUCUUGAGUUUGACGUGGAGGAAAGCAGAAACUUGAGGCAACGGGGGACCGCGGGGGACUGUGAGGAAACGGGGCGGGGGGGUGGGGGGCAAAGGGCGGGGGGAGAUAUUUGACAAUGGGGCGGGGGACGGGGGAAGGAUCCCCCGCCCCUUUGCCAUCCCUAAUCAUUUAUAUGGUAUGAGAAAAAUUGUGCUCUUCUUUCUAUGGUUUAUAGGUUUACAUAGUAUACAUGAUGAGGAGUCUUCCUAAUGGAAAUUAUUCACCUACAGAACACCAUAUCAGGAUGUUACAUGAAAUGGUCAAUAGCAGGUAAAACAUAUCUUAUAAUCAAUCGUUACACGCUAUGAUUAUAACUUUUUUCUUUUUUCACUUGACCAUUUACUUUCUAUUUUUGGACAGUAAUUCAAGUGCAUACCUCAUCAGAAGUUACAAGAGAAGGUUUAAUGGAUUUGCAGUGAAUCUUACUCACACUGAACAACAAAAAUUGGCAAGACAAUCUUUAAUGUAACUAUUGUUGUAAAAAAUAAUAAAAAAAAAUAGAUAUUUCAAAAGAUUUUAUUAUGUUUGAUACUGUUUGGAUAAGAGUUUUAUCUGAUAAAGUUUCAUCAGAAAUGUUUGUUCCUAUUUUGAGGGAGAAAUUCUCAAAGAUAAGAUUUUGAUAAAGGACUAAAAGCCAAAACCAAGAAGUCAGAUUGUGAGACGUCUUGAUAAGUUCGGUCAAAUGGCCUUCCUGAUGGCCGGACCUUUUCCAACUAUUCACAAUAGAGGAUAGACCUCUGACUACUUCAAAUGAUAAGUCUGGCACAGGAUGCAUGGCCAUUCUCACAGGAAAUCAACUUUUCAAAAUUCUAUCCUCUUCCGUAUCCUGUAUCAUGAAGCCUAUAAAUAGAACCAUUUGUCAGGUUCAUUUUCAUACUGAUGAAUGAAGUCUACACUUCGUAAACUCGCUCCUCCUUCUCCUCUAUUUGCUCUCCUUAACUUUCUUAUUUUACCUGCUAGUUUUGUUCCAAAAUUUUGCUGGUUCUACGUCCCUCUCACAAAGUAAAGGAAGACUUGUUUAAUCUUGGGGAAACAUUUCAAUACUCUGAAAUAGUUUCUUAGGACAGUACUUUCAAGCACGACUCAAGUGUUCAAGUGUUAGCAUUAUUCGGGCCAUUUAUACUACAAUCUAAGAAACUAUGGCAGUCGACAGUGUUAACACCCCACAACCAUCCUCCACAGCAGUCACACUACCUUUUGCGAAACCAUUUUCUGACGUCUCUAGAAUUGAGGUUUUUGCUGACGAAAACUUCAAAAGAUGGCAAGAACGUGUUUACUCUGUACUCAACAUUCAUGAAGUGGCCCAUGCACUGACAGAAUCUCAACCUGCUGCAACCGUAGAUGUCAAGAUACAAGAGUCGUGGCAAUAUGCCAAUAAGGUAUGUCGACAUACAAUUUUACAAAUACUUUCUAAUGAGUUAUUUGACGUAUUCUAUAGCUGCAAAGAAACCAAGCAAAUUUGGGAAGCGUUGGUAACAAAGUUUACCACUGAAGACGCAACCAAACAAAAAUUUGUUGUGGGAAAAUACAAUCAAUGGCAGAUGACCGACAACAAAGAAAUGAAAGCUCAGGUCACAGAAUACCAAAUGUUACUCGAGGAGCUAAAAAAUGAAGAGAUCAAGCUGCCCGAGAAAUUUGCUGCAAGCAUGCUAAUUGAAAAGCUACCUGAGUCAUGGGCCGACUACAAAAAUAACCCGAAGCACAAGGAAGAAAAUUACACAAUUGAUGAACUCGUGAAACACAUCCUGAUUGAAGAUUCACACAGGAAAGAGUUGAGAGCUGCUAAAGCAAAGGAGAUGGCAUUUAAAGCUAAUCUGGUACAAAGCAACAACAAAAGGUACGCCAAUAAGUCCCAAAGUAACAAGUCUUGGAAUCCCAACUACAAAUCAAAGAAUCCCAACUUUAAGAAAAAGAAAGGCAAUUGCUACAGUUGUGGAAAACCAGGUCACCAUGCUGCUCAGCGCUGAUAUAAUAAAGGAGACAAAGCAAUUGGUAAUCCUCCUAAGGCUAAUUUAGUCGAAGGGGAUGAAUAAUUGUUGCAGUUAUUUCACAAGUAAACAUUGUAGUCAAUGUGAAAGAGUGGGUGGUAGACUCUAGAGCUACUCGGCACAUAUGUGCAAAUCGAGAAGCAUUUUGCUCCUAUACUCCAAUAGAGGAGGGUGAAGAGGUAGUCUACCUUGGAGACUCACGAACUGCUAAAGUUCUUGGUAAGGGCAAAGUGUUCUUGAAUCUCACUUUAGGAAAAACUUUGGCCCUUAAUGAUGUGCUGCAUAUUCCAAAUAUUCGGGCAAAUCUUGUUUCUGUGGCUUUGCUUGGAAAAGUUGGGGUGAAAGUGUCAUUCGAAUCUGAUAAGAUUGUAAUGAGAAGAAAUAAUGUAUUUGUAAGGAAAGGUUAUUGUAACCAAGGACUUUUUGUAUUUAACAUUUCCAAUGUGAUCAAUGAGAAUGCUUCUUCUUUUGCUUAUAUUGUUGAUUCAAUUUCUUUAUGACAUGCAAGAUUAGGACAUGUUAAUAUGAGUUAUAUAAAGAAAAUGCAAUCUUGUGGUCUAAUUUUUGGUAUUAAUGAAAAAAUGGACAAAUGUGAGAUAUGUGUUGAAACUAAAAUGACAAAGAAGACUUGUAUAACUGUUCAAAGAGAAACUGAACUAUUAAAUUUAAUCAACACAGAUUUAGGUGAUUUAAAACAAACUACGACUAGAGGAGGAAAAAGAUAUUAUGUUACUUUUAUAGAUGACUACUCUAGAUAUAUUAAACUUUAUUUACUUAGAAAUAAAGAUGAUACUCAUAAUACUUUUUUAUCUUAUAAGUCUGAGGUAGAAAAUUAACUUAAUAAGAAGAUAAAAAGAAUUAGGUCUAGAGGAGGCGAAUAUUUAGCCUUAGAUAAAUUUUGUGAACAUGAAUGCAUAAUACACGAAAUAACACCUCCUUAUUCACCCGAAUCUAAUGGAGUAGCUGAAAGGAAAUAUAGAACACUAAAAGAAAUGAUGAAUUCUAUGUUAGUUAGUUCUCAUGCUCCUGAUAAUUUAUGGGGAGAAGCUAUCUUGUCCGCAUAUCACUUACAAAAUAGGAUACCUCAUAAGAAAACUAGCAAAACCUCUUAUGAGUUAUGGAAAAAUUAUAAACUUAAUUUGAAAUAUUUGAAAGUAUGGGGGUGCCUUGCUAAAGUAUUGUUGCCUGAAUCUAAGAAAAGAAAAUUAUGUUCUAAAACUUCUGAUUGUAUGUUUAUUGGAUAUGCUAAACAUAGUGCUGCAUAUAGAUUUCUUGUUUUAAGAAGUGACAUGCUUGAUUGUAAUACAAUUAUUGAGACAAAGAAUGCUGAAUUCUUUGAACAUAUUUUUCACUGUCUAGUAAAAUUUCUCAUGCACCAGUUGAAAUAAAUAGAGAAAUAAUUCCGAAUAAGAAAUUAAGAAGAAGUAAAAUGGCAAGAAAAGAAUUUUCUUAUAGAAAUGAUUUUCAAACUUUCUUGUUGAUAAUGAUCCUCUAACAUACUCAGAUGCUAUUUCUUCCCCUGAUUGUAAAUUUUGGAAAGAAGCAAUUAAAUCUGAAAUUGAUUCUAUCUUGACAAAUAAAACUUGGAUUUUGGUAGACUUACCUCCUGGUGCAAAACUUAUUGGUUGUAAAUGGAUUUUUAAAAGAAAAUAUAACUCUAAUAGCUAUAUAGAAAAGUACAAAACUCGUUUAGUAGAAAAAGAAUUUUUUCAAAAAUAAAAUAUUGACUAUUUUGAUACAUUUGCACUAUUAACAAGAAUUGCGUCUAUUCGAGUUUUAUUUGCCUUGGCUUCUCUCCAGAAACUUGUUAUUCAUCAAAUGGAUGUCAAAAUAGCCUUUUUAAAUGGUGAUCUAGAAGAAGAAAUUUAUAUGUUUCAACCUAAGGGAUGUAUUGUAUCUGAACAAAAGAAUAAAGUUUGUAAACUAAUUAAAUCUCUUUAUGGUCUAAAACAAGCUUCUAAACAGUGGCAUGAGAAAUUUGAUCAAGUGUUGAUAAAAGAUAGAUUCUCGUUAGUAGAAGUGGAUAAAUAUGUAUAUGUCAAAAUUAUAAAUAAUCAAUAUGUGAUAAUUAGUUUGUAUGUGGAUGAUAUACUUAUAUUUGGUACUAAUCUAGAUAUUGUAAAUAGUACUAAAUAUUUUUUGUCUUCUAAUUUUGAUAUGAAAGAUAUGGGUGAAGCCAGAAUGAUAUUGGAUGUUAAAAUCAUAAGGAGAGGUGAUGGUAUAAUGUUGUCACAAGAACAUUAUACAGAGAGACUUCUUAGGAAGUUUGAAAAUUAUGAUGUAAUACCUGUGAGUACUCCUUAUGACGCUAACACUCAGUUAAAGAAAAAUAACGAUGACCCAAUUGCUCAGUUUAAAUAUGCUCAGAUUUUUGGAAGUUUAAUGCGUCUGAUGAAUUUCACUAGACCGGAUAUAGCUUAUGCUGUAUGUAGACUGAGUAGAUAUACUCACAAUCCCAAUCGUGAGCAUUGGUUUGCAUUAGUCAGACUAAUGAAAUAUUUGAGAGGUACCAUGAAUUUUGAUAUCUUGUAUAGUGGAUUUCCUACUGUAUUAGAGGGUUACAGUGAUGCUAAUUGGAUCUCUGAUUCAAAUGAUACAAAAUCCACUAGUGGUUAUGUGUUCACCCUUGGUGGUGGUGCAGUAGCAUGGAAGUCAGCCAUACAAACGAUUAUUGCUCGGUCAAUUAUGGAAUCGAAGUUCAUAGCUCUGGAGUUGACUGGUUCUGAGGUAGAUUGGUUAAGAAAUUUCUUAACCAAUAUUCAUCCUAUUAAGGAUCUGUUGCCUCCUGUGUUUAUACACUAUGACUGUCAAGCGGCUAUUGCUAUUGCAAAAAAUAAAUCUUAUAAUUGUAAAAGUUGACACAUGAGAUUGAGAUAUGAUGUCGCAAAGCAGCUGCUUAGAGAUGGAAUUAUUUCCAUUGAUUUUGUGAAGUCGAAGUUGAAUUUGACCGAUCCUCUGACUAAAUCUGUAGGAAGAAAAUUAAUUCUUCAAACUACAAGGGAGAUAGGACUUAGGCCAACGGUUAUCAAUAGAGAUGGUAAUCCAACCUAUGUGAUUGGUGAUCCCAUGAAAUAGGUUCAUAUGGGUAAUAACAAGUUGAUAUUGACUGUAAAGCACUUGAAAUUUAAGUCCCUUCGAAAAUAAGUGCUUUGACUGCCAGUUAUUGUGAGGCUGAGUUUAAUACUCUUAAUGAAUUUAUAUCCCUUUAGGGAGGUGUAUUUAGGGCAGUAUACACUUGAUAAAUUCACUUAUAUGUGAGAGGAGUAGGGCCGCUCCCAUAAGAUUUUUUGGCCGAAUCUUUAGAGCUCUCAUGAACAACCAGACAGGCGCAUGGCCUAAAUGCGCGAAACUAUAUUGAACAGCAACAUUAUGGGUUACAAUGUGAUUGAUAAAAUCUCUAUCAUACAACAAGAAUUAUUGGUUCAUAGAAAUUUAUUUUUUCACCAAUAAUUCUAUAAGACAUAUUUUAUCAAUUUAAGUUUGGUUCAUAGUCUAAAAAAUAACAAACUGAUUACAUUGAACUCAGACAAAUCCAGCAGAUGUUCAUACUCUCUUGUCCAAAAUCUUUUGAAAUAGGUGGGAGAUUGUUGUAAAAAAAUAAUAAAAAAAUAGAUGUUUCAAAAGAUUUUAUUAUGUUUGUUACUAUUCGGAUAAGAGUUUUAUCUGAUAAAGUUUCAUCAGAAAUGUUUGUUCCCAUUUUGAGGGAGAAAUUCUCAAAAAUAAGAUUUUGAUAAAGGACUAAAAGCCAAAAUCAAGAAGUCAGAUUGUGAGACGUCUUGAUAAGUUCGGUCAAAUGGCCUUCCUUAUAGUCUGAUCUUUUCCAACUGUUCACAAUAGAGGAUAGACCUCUGACUACUUCAAAUGAUAAGUCUGGCACAAGAUGCAUGCCCAUUCUCACGGGAAAUCAGCUUUUCAAAAUUCUAUCAUCUUCCGUAUCCUGUAUCACGAAGCCUAUAAAUAGAACCAUUUGUCGGGUCAUUUUCACACUGAUGAACGAAGUCUACACUUCGUAAACUCUCUCCUACUUCUCCUCUAUUUGCUCUCCUUAACUUUCUUAUUUUACCUGCUAGUUUUGUUCCAAAAUUUUGUUGGUUCUACGUCCCUCUCCCAAAGUAGAAGAAGACUUGUUUAAUCUUGGGAAAAUGUUUCAAUACUCUGAAAUAGUUUCUUAGGACAGUGCUUUCAAACACGACUCAAGUGUUAGCAUUGUUUGGGCCAUUUAUACUACAACUAUCAGUGGAAAAAGAGUGGUAAACAUGGUAUCCGCAUCUCUUGAGUGGUUUGAUGGCAUCCAUAUUGUUAGAAGUCCAAUAAUAUUGUAUACAAAAAAGUGAAACAAAAACUGAGGCUGUAAUAGUCUAAUCAUUGUAAUUUAGUUCUUCUACUGAAACUUAAGUAAUGAAGCAUGCCAUAUAUUGGACUGAAGUGUUCUGAAUGUAAACAAAGUUGGGAUUCUUUGUAGUUAUGAAGAUCAACUCUUACACUAUAAAGAAAAAAAAAAUUGGAAUAAGAUGAGAAGAGAAAGGAAAAUAAAUGGAUAAAAUAUGUGUGGAGUCCAAGAGAGGGGGGCGCAAAACCGUAUUUGUUUUCCAAGAGAGGUGUGCAUAAAGGAACCUCCUUGUUCUUUGUUGACUUCUAAUGCCAUGCUUUCCCUAUAAGCUUAACGUUCGGAAUAUUCCCUAUCUCCUCUUAUGCUUUCUCUUCAUUGUUGCAAAAACAUUUCGUGAUGCUUCUUUUUCCUUGAAGAUCGGGGUUUCAAUACUUUGAGUUAAUUUUAUGAAUAAGAAUUGAAUGUUUAUUAAGGGAUAAUUUCAGAAACCUCCCCUCGAGGUCUUUAACAAUUUCAAGAAACUCCCCUUAGGUUUCAAAAAUUACACUUACCUCCCUUACUUUCACUAUUUAUGCUUCAAAAUAGGCCCAAUAAGCUACCAAUUCCUUCAAAUAUCCUAAACUACCCUUUUCAUCAAAAUGAUAAAAAGGAAAAAUAAAUAGAGCUUUGUUGAUUGCCUUUCUCCCAACACCAAAGCCAACAAAUUCUUUCUACCAAAAAAUAAAGGUUUGGAAAAAAAAUUCAACUAUGAUGAUUGCCUUCUUCAAAGCAAUACCACCACAAAAGCCAAGCAAACACCCUAAUUUAAAUCAAAAUAAAUUCUAAUAAUUAUAGCACUCAAAACACUACAACCUAAUUUAUGUCCAAUAACCCCAACCCCUACAUUUACUACAUAAGUCAAUUAAAUCCAUCACUUGGUGCUAAACUAGAUAAAACCCAACCUCAAAUUUUACCCAAAACUAACAUCUCAUCAACAAUCAAUAGCAGUUCUUUUUAUCUUCCUCUCUUUGCAGCCUUCUUUAUUAUUUUUUUCAACCACCCAUUUCUAAAGUCCAUCAAUCCCUCAAAUUCUUGACUUUUGACAUCACUAAGUCUUAUCAUCCAUAAUCAACCAACAUUGGAUAAAAUAAAUAGACGCAGAAAAAUGAAACCCAUGACAUUUAAAAUUAAAAGGAUAAAAAGGAUGAACCUAAUCAUAUUUGCAAAAAAGAGAUGAGAAUAGAGAUAAAAAAAAAAAGAGGGAAGGAGAGGGAUAAAUAUGGGCAAGGUAUGAUAGAUAGAAUUUGGUCUUAAAUUAGAGGAAGAAUAUAAGGCAAAGAGGAAUGGGUGCAGGAAUUUAGCAAAAAUGGAAAUGAAAGAAAAAGUAAGGUAGAGAGGAGGAAACAAGAGAGAAAGAGAGAGAGAAAUAGAUAGAAUAAGUCAAUUUUUGGUUUUUCUUGAAAUUUCUGAAAUUUUCCAAAAAAAAGUCAUUAAGUAUCCUAUAUAGGGGUAGUAGAGUACUUUUCCAGUAAUAGGGAAGGUAUGUGUAAUUUUAAAAUAUUAAGGGGAUCUUUGUGAAAUUGUUAAAAAGCUCAGGGAGGUUUCUAAAAUUAUUCCGUUUAUUAAUUGUCCACUAGGAGGCGCCAGUGGCAAGAAAUUGGUCAACUAAAUUUGGUUGUUCACAAUCUAAGGUUGAAUUAAGCGGGUCUUGAAAUAUUUUAAGUAAUUAUUUGCAUAUCUCAUUUGGAUUGAAACUAUAUCAUCUUUGUUACUAUUCUAUGUAUGGACAAUUCUUGUAAGUAGCUUAUCUUGUAGUGACGAGUAAAUGUGCACAACUAAGAAUAGAUUUUUUAUCGAGUUUAUCUCUCAUCAAUUAUAGAAAGAGACCCGUUGCUUGAUUACAAAUGCGAGGAAAAGUCUUAAUUCUUUGAGCUCGUUUUUUAGGUGGAAAGCCCCAGAAGUACCCAACAGUUUUGGACUAAAUAGCUACUAAAAAUAACCAAAAAAUUGACAUAAUUUAUAAAGGCUCAUUUUAGACUCUGAAUCCUAUCCAGUCUUAAGGUCUAGAACCAUACCCAAAACCAAUUGGAAGGAGAGGCCAAUCAUGGGUAUCUGUUGUCUCUUCAUGUAAUUUAAUUAAGAAUAUGCAUGUAUGUAUCUAUAUAUGUACAUAAGUAUGAAUGUGUGGUAUAUGGACGUGCAUGUUUGUGUGUACAUGUCCGGUAUAUUUUGGAUAUCAGUCGAUUUAUUCUAAGUUUGGAAGCGAAAAUGAUUUAUUCUAAGUUUUUUGUGUCGAUUUAUACAAAUCCUGCCUAAUUAAGUCCAAUGAUUCUCUUUUGGGAUUUAGAUUUGAGGAAGGUGUGCUUUUCAAAACUCCCCAGCUUGUUUGAAAGUAUCAUGGGUCUUUAACAUAUCCUUAUACUAUAUAAAAUUGAGUUUUGGUCAAAGAAUAUGUUGAAUUUCAACCGCAUAGGUGGGGGCUUUCUGGAAAUGUGACAUAUUGUGUAUUAGUUUAAAACCUUUAGGUACAAGUUAAGGAAGCAUGUAUUUAGGUAUGUUUACUGAAAUGACCCCAUUUUAAUACAUUUAAAGUUGUCAUUGAUGAGGCAUCUGGGUAUUGAUGGAAUGUGUAAUUAGUGUGCAACCGUUUUUGCAUUUUGUAAAAUCCAUAUAUGCUUGUGUGUUGGUAUAAUUACCGGAAUAUCCCUUAACUACCAAUAAUUUCCCUUUUAAGCCGCAAAUAACGGAUUGAGAUGUUGCUUUGUCUGAAACAUUUGAUGGCAAUCGAGUUUAGGAAAUGAGCCAAUAAUUUCUUUAUCAAUGGUAGGAACCCAUUUCUCUAUCAUUUAUAAUCUGCAUUUAUGAGUCACAAACGUUGGUCAUUUUAUCUCCUUUCAACUUCAGGAGUUAAGGUUUCCCUUUUUGCCUUUGUCUACAACGAUUUGCCUUAUCGUUUUCUCUUCCAUCCGAACUUAACUAUGAAAUUACCUAUUAUUUCGUCAUUAAUUACACCCAAUUCAAUUCCCGAACCAUUGGUAUCUUAAUGCCUAAACGGCUGAUUAUCAGUUUCUCCCUGUUCACAUUCCAGGAUUGGGAUAAUUCUACCUGACUUCAUACUAAUCAGCUCAGAAUGCUCUUCAGUCCCAACUACUCCUGGUGGUUCAGCAUGAGGUUAGAUUUCACCCUCCCAAUUUUUCAGUUUCUCCCUUAAUUUUGUCGGUAUGUUCUUAGUACCUACAAUUAGCGACUCUUAUCGUGUUGCCUAACGGCAAGAUAGCAUUUUUCGCAUUGCCUAAACUCAAUUGGUCUGAAUUGGUUAUAAUCUUAUAGGUUUGGAGCAACAGCAAGAAAGAGCUCUCGGUGGAGAUUCUGGAAUAAGGUUAGCUUUUUGUGUUGCUCUGCCUUUCUGCAUUAUCAACGACCUUCAAUUUGACACAGUUUUAUUGUAACGCUGUGUGAAUUUGAUUGAUUAUAUCGUUUAUCUUUUUAUACUAAGUUUUAUAUCUUCUCACAAUGUACUAUUGUUUGUUCAAUGUGUGAAUGUCAUUGUCUUCAAUUGAGUUCAAUUGCUGAGGUGGUGCGUUGCGAUUGGCCGAUUGGUGGUAGUCCACCAAUUGAUUCCAAUUUGAUGAGUUGUCGUCCUCUGAUUUGUCGAUUGGUGGUAGUUCUCCCAAUUGCACAAGAAAUUGAUGAUGUGGUGAAUUUUGAUGGGAUGGGAGGUGGUGGUCCUCUAAUUGUAAGUGGGAUUGUACUAAAAUUUGGCUUCUUUUUUAUUAGCCCAACAUAUCACAUUAACAAAAAUUUGGUUUUCUUUUUUUUGUUGUCCACCAAAUCACCUCUAAUUACCAAUUCUUUGCAAUUAAUUGUUAAUAAUGUAAUGUUUUUGGUCAUCCAACAAAUCAUGUUUGAUUAACAAUUUUUUGCAAUUAUUAACAAAAAAUUGACUUCUUUUUUAUGGUUGCUCAAAAUACCACAUUUAAUUAUCAAUUUUUUUCAAAUGUUAUAAAAAAAUAUCCUCUUUUAUUUGGGUUAUCAAACAAAGCAUGUUUACUUAUAAAUUUUUUUACAGUUAAUUGUUCAUUAAUUAAUUAAUAAUUUCACUUUUUUUAUUGCAUAACAAAUCACAUUUAAAAUUACCAGCUUUUUGGUCAAUUGAUGGUAGUCUUCCAAUUGAUUCCAAAUUGACGGAGUGCCAUUUUGUGAUUGGUCAAUUGGUGGUAAUCCUCCUAAUUGUAUAUGAAAAUGGUGAUGUAGAAAGUUUUGAUUGAAUAAGAGGUGGUAGUCCUCUAAUUACACGUAGGUAGUCAAUUAUUAACAAAAAAUUGACUUCUUUUUUGUGCUUGCCCAAAACACCACAUUUAAUUAUCAAUUUUUUUUCAAAUGUUAUAAAAAAACAUCCUCUUUUAUUUGGGUUAUCAAACAAAUCAUGUUUAAUUAUACAAUUUUUUGCAGUUAAUUGUUCAUUAAUUAAUUAAUAAUUUCACUUUUUUAUUGCAUAACAAAUCACAUUUAAUUACCAGCUUUUUGGUCCAUUGAUGGUAGUCCUCCAAUUGAUUCCAAAUUGACGGAGUGUUAUUUUAUGAUUGGUCAAUUGAUGGUAAUCCUCCUAAUUGUAUAUGAAAAUGGUGAUGUAGAAAGUUUUGAUUGAAUAAGAGGUGGUAGUCCUCUAAUUACACGUAGGAUUGUGCUAAAAUUUGGCUUUUUUUUUUUUUGCCCAACAAAUCACAUUAGCAAAACUUUGAGCAAAAAUCACAUUAACAAAAAAUUGGUUGUCCACCAAAUCGCGUCUAAUUACCAAUUUUCACAAUUAAUUGUUAAUAACUAAUUAAUAAUGCGCGUUUUUGGUCAUCCAACAAACCACGUUUAAUUAACAAUUUUUUGUAAUUAUUAACAAAACAUUUUGACUUCUUUUUUGUGGCUGUCUAAAAAACCACAUUUAAUUAUUGAUUUUUUUUUCAAAUGUUAUAAAAAAAAUGUACUCUUUAAUUUUGGGUUGUUCAACAAAUAAUAUUUAAUUAUAGAAUUUUUCGUAGUUAAAUUGUUCUUUAAUUAAUUAAUAAUUUCACUUUUUUAUUGCCUAACAGAUCACAUUUAAUUACCAACUUUUGCCAAUUAUUAACACUUUUUUUUUGUUCCCAAAUAAAUCACAAUUAAUUAUCAAUUUUUUGUAAUUGACAUAUAUUAACAUUAAACAUAGAGUAAAUCUUAUAUAUAUUGACAGUGUAUAUACUAUCACCGUUUGAUUCGUGAUAUGUAUGUAAAUUUUAAAUUUAAAUUCAAAAUUUACAUAAUUUUCAUUCUUCUAACGCUGGCAUUGUAUACACUGUUAGUGUAGGAAGAUUAAUCCUUAAAUGUACGGUAUAACAAAAGGGUGAAUGGUUUCCUGCGACGUCCGCCCAUGUGGCGCAAGAGGAUUGGCUUCUUGGUGACGUGGCUAAUGGAGAUUGGUGCCAAGUUUGGUAGUAUUCCAUGUGCGCAUUUUUUUUUCUUUUAUUUGUUUCCUUUUGUGCAGGUGUUUGACCACCGGGUAAACUAGCAAGGGAGAGGUCUCCCUCAAUUCCUCAAUUCUUGGCUUUUGCAAUAAAGCUAUUGGCUGAAGAGUGGCAGAGCUGGUCAAUUCACAUCAAUCACCUCAAUCCGUCAACCCGUUGUACCAGAAGUUUCUUUCUCAUGGUUUCCUCCUGUUCUUCUCUCUUGAGUUUUCAUCUUCCUCUCAAAUCCACCGUUUCUCCACUUUUGUUCUGUAUACAUUUUCCCCCUUGAUUAAAUUUUCUCUCAUUCUCUGAUAAGUUUCAUAUUUUUUUGUCACAGGUUGAGAGGUCAGACUAUCAACUAAACCAUGAAAGAAAUGUGGAGAUUGUUCUCUAAAGGUGAACACUUUCUCUGUGAUUUUUUUUUUUCCUUUUUUUGUACAUUUUCUCCGGAUUUUUUCCCUUAUAUAUCUUUUCUGGCCAAGGUAUCUGUUGGAUAAAUAAGAAAGGAAAAAAGGAUGCAAUCUUUCUGUGUUUGAUGGCCGUUUUCUUUCCCGAGAUUUGUUAUCAACAGAUGUGAUUUUCUUAGAUCUUCAAAAAACCACGUCUAAUUUUUUUUCUUUUGUGAUGUUGCGAUGUUGCAGGUAUGAAAUUUGGAGAUUUUCUCCAUCGCCGUCAUGCUAUUUUGUAAGUUUUUUCCCCCUUUUGGAGACCCUUUUCCUCUCUUAUCCUUUGUUUUCUCUGAUCGACAACAACAAAACCAAAGAUCUGGUUGGGAUUUUUUGCUUCAGUUCAAUAUCUCUUUUUCCAAAGCUUCUCUACCCUUUUGUGGUUUCUUUCCUUUCAUUUUUUAACUUCCUUUUUUCCCCUUUUGUGAUGUUUUGAUGUCGCAAUUACGAAAUUUGCAGAUUACCUCCACCAUUCUCAUGCUUUUUUCUAAGUUUUUCCCCCUUUUUUAAAGGUAAGUUCUAUAUGAUUAUUUUCUAAAAAAGACUUAUUUUUGUUGUAUCCUCCCCUUAAUUUUUCCUUAUUUCCAUCUUUUUUCCCCCGUGACUAAAGACACGUCAAAAUGCAUUUAACAAAUUUGAUUAAGUUCUUUUUGAUGGAUUUAAAAAUUUUUUUGCCCAUGUUUGAUCAUAUAAUUUGUAUAUUUUUGUGAUGUUGCAGGUCCAAAAAUUGGAAUUUUAUUUGAUUCUCUCAAAAAACUACUAAUGCGGUAGUAUGGAUCAAUAUUAUUCCUAGCCUGUUUUGCAUAAUAUUGGUGGAGCGAGUCUUCUUCUAUUCGCUUAUAUGUGAUUACAAUUUAUAUUCUGCUUUUCUUUAUUUUUUUUCUCUGCAAAAGAGAUUGCUUUGGAUUUUUUUCAUUUAUUUAUUUGUUUUUAUAACCUAUUAGAUGUAAGUUUCAAUUUUGGUUAUCAUGAAGUGUUUAUCCUCUUAGUUGUGUCUUGGAAAGUUAGUUUUCUGACAUGUUUCCUUGAGCCUUUAUAUUGACAAUUUAUAAAUCCUCACUAGAUGUUAGGACUCAUUUGUGUAUUUCAUGGGUCUAUUCCUUUUGUGUUUUUUUGUACGUGGGGUUGCUUUUUUAUUUCUUCUUGUUUUUCCCCCUUUUUUGUUCUAAAGCACUGUAAUGAUACAAUCAUAUUUUAUUUAUCAAAUGUUUGAUAGAAUGCUAAAACCAUUAAUUUGUUAUACAGUAGCUAAAAUUGGAAAAAAAAUUGUCCACUCUAACCCACUUUCUUGACUUUCAACCGAAAGGCUUUGUUCCUCUAUCCAUGAAUUUCCUCUUCCUCUUCUCAUGGUCUUCACUUGCUAAUAAAAAAGGAGAGCUAUAUAUGCUUAUGUUAUCUCUUCUUCUAUUGUAGUUUUAAAAAAAGAAAAGUGGAGAUUGUUCUAUGAUAAAGUCUCUAAAAUUUCUCAAGGUAGUUUCCUCUAUUUUAUAGUAUUCUCUAUAUCAUCAUUUGGCCAGUAACGCUUACUAAUUCUUCUACACAGAGGUUAUGCCGGGCUUCCUUUUUUCCACCACCAACAUCGGUGCACAUGAGGUGAUAAAGUGGGUGUAUUUCUCCUGUUCUUUUGUUUAGGCCUUUAUUUUCCAUAGUUUGGUUGCCCGGUCUAUGUGAUUAUCCUCCGGAGAAAUGUUUUUGCUAAAGUUCUCUCUUGAAUAUCUCGCUUUUGGCCAUGGGCUCGAGGAGUCUGGAAACGUUCAUCAGAGUCGCUUUUCUUUUGGGCAUGGGCUCAAGGAGUCUGGACAACCAAGUUUAAUCCUUUUUUCAACUGAUCUUUAUUUUGUUGAAUGUCUCUAGCAAAUAUUUGUGUUAUACACUAAAAUGUAUUAUUGCCUUUUAAGGUGGCUUUUUCUUUCCACCUCAUUUAUCACAUACAUUCAAUAGAUGAUUUUACCUUUUUUUUUCUCUUUUUUUUUUCAAUUUACCUAAUUCAAUAUGUAUUAUUAGGUUCUCUAUACUGAGCUGAGGAACAUUAUGGUUUGUUAUCUAACAUUCGGCAGUUAGUUAAGAUACUUUCUGUCAUACUCUUUGUUCUUUAAUAGUUAUCAAGAAAUUGGGGGCCUUUUACAACAGGUAUGUGUUUUGUUUGUCCACUGCAACUAUGUAUUAUCAGGAAUUUGUAUUUAAUUAUAUGCUUUUGGUAUUAUGUUAAAUAUGUUCUAAGUGAUAUGAAAUAGGACUCUACUUCUUCUAAAUUUUCAAGUCUCAACUUGUGCUCUGAUUAUUAAAACCAUUGACAUUCAUGUAUUUGCUAAUAAUUGGGUGUUCGAUUUUAGUUUGCGAAGUUGCGUAUCUGUUAGUUUCAAUGAAUUCAUUUGAAUGAAGACAAUAAUUAAUGAUUUGCAUUUGAUGCUUGCUAAUAAUCAGUGGUUUAUUCCACUGGGGCAAAUCUUGCUUUAUUUUUUUUAAUCUUUAACCCCUUUUUAAAAACUAGAAGUGAGAUUUUUUGUCCUUGAUAGGUUUACCUUCCAAUAUGUAAGUUGUUGACUGGAAUUGUUUACAACCUAGAGGGGCUUGACUUUGAUGAUAAUUUCAUGGGAUGCUUGACUUCAAAAAAUUAAUGAUAAAUCUCAUUUGAUGCUUGUGAAAUGAAUGGUGGAAUUUUCCCUUUCUAUAAGGCAGAAGUGUUGUUUGGAUUUAAGCAUUUUGUCUUCUAUUAUUUUCUUAAAUAUGCUUUUAGUACUUCUGGUAAUAAAAGCGUUUCACUCAUUUGCACUUUAGAUGGUUAGGUACUGUUAUUUUUCUGGUGGUGACUUUCUUUUAACUGGCAAAAUGAUACGAAUCUUAGGAGCUGCCCAAAAGCUAUUACGUGGCCCAUUGACGAGUCGUUGGGGUCCAAUGAAGAGAGCCAAAGCCAAGCAUUCAAAGUUCAAGAAUUUCAUCUGCAACGCGUCGGACUGAUUCAGUUGUUUUAGCAGUUUCCGUUAUUUCCAAUUAUUUCCUAGUUUUAUUGCUUCCAAUUGGGUCUUGUAAGCCUACUAAGGCAUAUCUAGUAUGUUAGGGCAAUUAGUUAUGUUUUGGUGAAGUCUUCCAAUUCAAUUAGGAAACUUACCUCUUUCGCGUAGGCUUAGGUUCAGUUGUUUUGUAAGCCUAUAAAAGGCUGCUCAAUUCCAUAGAGAAGGGACUUUUUGGAUUUUCAGAAAUUAAGAGAGUUUCUCUAACUUCUUGUGAGCAGCCUUGAGCACCUUUAGAGGAUCUAAAGUUUUCGUUGACUUUAUCAAUCAGGAAACACGCCUGAUUGUGGUGUCUUCUACCGUUCGAAACUAUCUCGCGCUGCCCUUGAUAGUCUAGGACUCCGCUUACCCCAAACUCAUUACCUUGGUCUUGGGCUUGUGGUUCGAAUUCUGGCGUCCUCGGAUCCGAGUUUGUAUCAGUUGGUAUCAGAGCAUAGGUUAAGGUAUCAAGUUAUAUCCCUUUUAUUUUGUUCUUGUCGUAUUUGUUUAGAGUUUAUUAUUAGGGUUUUCUUCUUAAAUUCUUUUGUGUUGUCGGUCUGCCGCAGUUUGUGCUGCUAGUUGUCAGUUAAUCGUGUCUUUGUGUUUGGGUUUGGAAAAAAAAAACUCGAAAUCACUAUUCACGGCACUGUAGCGCCGUCACUGUUCACGGGUACUGUAGCACGGUUUUUGUAGCCGUACUGUUCACACGAUACUGUAGCAGCUACUGUUCAUCCGUUUCUUUUAAUUACAAGAAAAAAAAAUUUUGUGAAUUUUUGAGUCCUUGAAAUCACCAAAAAAAACAAAAAAGGGAGCCUAGCUGCACUUGCGUGAAUUAUUGGUAGUUGAUUGCUCAUCUAAGGUCAUUCUAAAUUUCCUCAAGGUGGGUGAUCAAGAGCUUUGAGAAAUUGGUGAGAAUUACUGGCACGUCCCAAUUUGAGUGACAUACACGAGUGUGAGAGAAAAUUGUGAAGGAGUGAAGUGAGGUUCUUUGUUUGUCAUUGAUCUCCCGCAGGUUUAAAACAUGUCAAACGAAGGUGAAUCCCAACCUUUUGAUUUAAGACUUCAAAUGGAGGAUAUGAUGGAAGAAUUCAGACGCAUGCUUAGAAACUCCAUUGAACCAUUGCACGAACGGAUGGAACAAUUGGAGUCAUCCAAAAAUCGAGCUAGUUCGAGCAGAGGAAGGUCGAGGCAAGUUGAGUCGGAUGCGUCUAAUAGUGAGGAUGGUGAGUUUGAUCUACAACCAAGGGUUGCCCGAGGAAGGAGAAACGGCGGGAAUGAAUCCAUCAAGGGAGUUAAGCUCAACAUCCCAUCAUUCCAGGGUAAGUCCGAUCCUGAGACAUACCUUGAAUGGGAACACAAAAUUGAGCUUGUUUCCGAGUGCAAUAACUAUUCAGAGCAGCAAAAGGUGAAACUUGCCGCCGUUGAAUUCACAAAUUAUGCAUCCGUAUGGUGGGAUCAACUUCGAACUAGUCGGAGGAAAAAUGGUGAGCGAGCAGUAGAAACUUGGGGAGAACUUAAAGGAAUCAUGAGGAGACGAUUUGUCCCAAGCUACUAUCAUAGGGAGUUACACCAACGGCUACAAACUCUCACUCAGGGCGACAAGAGUGUGGAGGACUAUUUCAAAGACAUGGAGAUGCUCAUGAUGAGAGCUGAUGUGAAUGAGGAUGCUGAAACCACUAUGGCACAAUUCCUCAAUGGCCUAAAAUCCAAUAUUGCUGAGAUAGUUGAACUCCAACAUUACAUGGAUAUGAGUGAAAUGUUGGAUAAGGCUGUGAAAGUUGAAAGGUGAAUCAAGAGGAGGGGUACCACUAGAUCUUCGUCCCAUGUAACUCCUUCAAGUUGGAGCACCAAUCCCGGACCUAAAGAGGAAAAACCUGCAAACUCAACUUCUCCACUCAAGCCUAAAGGGGACAUAGUUGGAUUGGGUACAAGUAAAGGAGCGCCAACCCCAUUCAAUGGUGCUUCUAACUCGCGCAAUCGGGAUUGAAAAUGCUUCAAGUGCCAGGGGUAUGGUCAUAUACAAUCCCAAUGCUCUAAUCAACGCAUUAUGGUUAUAAGGGACAAUGGUGAAGUAGCCACAAAUGAUGAGUCUGAUUAUGCAGGGAUGCCGCUUUUGACGGGUGAUGGGGACUCGGAGGAAGAGAUUGCACCGCUACCUGGGAAUGUAGGGUGUUUGGUUGCUCGUAGGACGUUAACCAUGCUUGCUAAGGAGGACGAGGGGUCUCAAUGGGAGAACAUCUUUUACACCCAUUGCAAAGUUAAGGAUAGGAUUUGCAACUUAAUUAUAGAUGGGGGAAGUUGCACCAAUGUUGCGAGUUUACUCAUGGUAGAAAAUUUGGCUCUCCCAACCAAGAAACAUCCUCGACCUUAUCGACUGUAAUGGUUGACAGCUGAUGGGGAUGUGCGAGUGUAUAGACAAGUAUCGAUGCCUAUUUGCAUAGGGAAGUAUGAGGAUGAGGUGAUCUGUGACGUUGUUCCCAUGCAAGCCACUCACAUUAUUUUGGGACGACCAUGGCAAUACGAUAAGGAUGUAUCCUUUGAAGGUCGAACUAAUAAGUAUUCUUUUAUCCAUGAUGGUAGGAAGAUUACUUUAGUCCCUUUAUCCCCCAACCAAGUUUGUGAAGAUCUAGAGAAGUUGAGGACGGAGAGUGCGCAUGAAGAUGCAAGGAAAAAGGAAAAUCGAGUUGCUAGCCAUGAGAGAAAGCAAAAUCUCUUGAUGCGCUUUACACCUGAGGGCAAUGCUUCGCGCCCCUCACCUCUAACAUUUGUUUUGUUUAGCGUCCACUCUUUUGUACAGGUUGAGCAAGGGGCAAAAGUUUUGGUCCUGCAAUGUUCUAUGCCUCCUUCCAUUGGAGCUUAUAACCGAAGUGCUGUUAGCCCGCGCUACCAAUUCUUGCGUUUCCACGAUUUGAGGACAAAUCUUUUUAAGAGGAGGGGAAUGAUACGAAUCUUAGGAGCUGCCCAAAAGCUAUUACGUGGCCCAUUGAGGGGUCGUUGGGGUCCAAUGAAGAGAGCCAAAGCCAAGCAUUCAAAGUUCAAGGAUUUCGUGUGCAACGCGUCGGACUGAUUCAGUUGUUUUAGCAGUUUCCGUUAUUUCCAAUUAUUUCCUAGUUUUAUUGCUUCCAAUUGGGUCUUGUAAGCCUACUAAGGCACAUCUAGUAUAUUAGGGUAAUUAGUUAUGUUUUGGUGAAGUCUUUCAAUUCAAUUAGGAAACUUACCUCUUUCGCGUAGGUUUAGGUUCAGUUGUUUUGUAAGCCUAUAAAAGGCUGCUCAAUUCCAUAAAGAAGGGACUUUUUGGAUUCUCUAGCUUCUUGUGAGCACCCUUGAGCACCUUUAGAGGAUCUAAAGUGUUUGUCGACUUUAUCAAUCAGGGAACACGCCUGAUUGUGGUGUCUUCUACCGUUCGAAACUAUCUCGCGCUGCCCUUGAUAGUCUAGGACUCCGCUUACCCGAAACUCGUUACCUUGGUCUUGGGCUUGUGGUUCGAAUUCUAGCGUCCCCGGAUCCGGGUUUGUAUUACAAAAGAUUUUUCACAAUUCACCUUGAGAAUGAAAAUUGUGAUUCAACUUAAGGUGACAUAGCGAUAACAAAAUAAAUGUGCUUAAGAAUAAAAUGGGCUAAGGCUUGCAAAGAAUCGUAGUCUUUAAGUUUUUAUAAAAUAAAAAAGGUCAAAUCAUUUCUAAUGAAACUAUUGCAUUACUUUGGCAUUGAUCGUAAACUAUGGAAACAUUUUUUUUUAUUAUUGGUUAUGCAUGCAAGUUCUUUGUGUAAUUUUCUAAAUGAAGGGGGAGAAUUAGCAAGCAUUAAGGGGAAAGCUAAGUGAUUUAGUUGUCUUUAUCUUCUACUUCUAUGCUUGUGAUUGUGUUCAAGCAUGUUUUAACACUUGAUUGAGAAGUUUGGUCAACUUUUGCUACCACAGUUAUGGAAGAAAAAAAAUCAGUAAUAAAAAGUUACUUAGGGGUUAGAACAAAAGAUAACGAAGUUAAAAUAGCAAAACGAUGAUGUGGAAGGUUAAUAAUAUAGCUAUCAUGGUAAAGUUUGCUAUGCUUUUUUUUUUUUUUUGUUGGUUUUCUUAAAUCUUUCUCCUAAUCAAAAGUAAAAGAUAAGAAAAAAAUAAGCAGAUUAAACGAAAAACAUGGAUUUUCAACCUAAUCGAGUCAUGUAAAAUGGCUGUGAACGAAUGUUGUGUACGACGCAUGAUUUUUUUGCAUUGUAAUUUCUUCUUCUUUCUCAGUACUUCUCUAGCCUUUUGGGAUUUUUGUGGGGUUUAGUAGUCUAAUUUUUGUGUAUUAAUUUGUAUAUAUAUGUUGUAGGUGCAAAAAAUUGGAAAUUUCUUCCAGCACCAGGUUCUGUAAAAAUUUUCCCUUUAAUAACGUGCAUUCUAUUUGGUUAUCUAUUUAAAAAAUACAAAUUUAGCUUUCUGUUUACAUCUUGUGCCUAAUUUUUUUGGAAUUUUUGCCAUAUUGGAAUCUUAAUUUUUUUCCAGAAUAAUUUAACAAAUUUGAGAAAGUUCUUUUUUGAUUUUUUCCUUUCAAAGAUAUUUUUGGGCUAUCUAAUCUGUUUAUUUUUUGUAAUAUUGCAAGUCCAAAAAUUGGAACUUUGCUUUCAUUUUUUUUCGUGGUUUUCUCUCAUAUCUUGUAAUUCUUGCUUUUGUUUGCUUUGCUUAACUACUUUUUUUUUCCUGUAUUUUCUUUACUCUGUUUAUUUGUUUACUUAUGUUUCUAUCUGUUAUUUUUCAAUCUUCUGUUUUUCCUAAGCUUUUUUCCUCAAAUGAAAAAAAUAGAAAAAAAUGAUUUUGUGUUUGUGGGGUUGCAAAGUAAACGUUUGGAGCAAAGUAGAAAAGAAAAUGUGAAAUUUGUUAGAUUGUGGGGUUGUAUGUUUUUGUAAAUUGUGGUUAUAUUCAGAUUCGAGAGUUGAAGCAAAGAAGUUGGGACUGCUAGCUGAGCCAUAUUUGGCGGGAGCGCAAUCAAUGUGUAGAUUGGUUGGCUAAAUGCAGCAUAUGAUCCAUUCGGGUUAUAAGUUCCCAAGAGAUGCAAGAUUUGUUAGAAUUGGAUAUGUUAGGAGUUGCAUAUCAUUAUUUUUUUUCUAUUUAAGAGAUUAUGGCCUCUUCCAAUGUACCAAAAAAUAAAUAAAUAAAAAGGUUCCUUUAUGAUAUAUAUCUUUGGUGCUUCUUGCAAGAUUUUUUUUUUCCCUUUUGAUUGGUCUUAUCCCAUAAUGUUGUAAAACUACCUUGGCAGCAAAAGUGUAUAGAAAUUUUGAGGUUGCUUUCCUCAAAGCUCAAAAGACAAGAAUAUCUUAAGAAUGAGUUUGGAAUUAUAAUGAGUAAUGCAAAUAUGUUAAUAUAGUUGCUUUUAAGUAUGAGAUUUCAUUUGUAAAUACUAAGGAUACCAAAAUAUAAUUUGUAUGUUGGGUCAAUGGCCAAUAGUAUAUGUCCUUAUCAUGUCUUUCUCAUGCCUUAUUGUCAGUGGCGGAGUUAGGAAUUGCAAUUAGGGGGGGGCGAGUCUCUGUUAUUUGGACAAAGUCCAAAUAACUUUCAAACAUUAUUAUUUGGGUCCUUAGGAGGGGGCAAAGUGAAAUUUUUUAUCAAUAUUUUGGGGGGGCAAAACAAUAUAAGAAAAAAUUUUUUUACUUAGAAAUUUUUUUAUAACAAUUGGAGGGGGGGCAAAGUGAAAAUUUUUAUCAAUAUUUGGGGGGUAAAACAAUAUAAAAAUUUUUUUUUUUACUUAGAAAUUUUUUUUUAACAAUUGGAGGGGGGGCGGUUGCCCCCCUGGCCCCCCCUUCCCUCCGCCCCUACUUAUUGUAUCUUUUAAAGGUAUUGUAUUAUAAUUUUCAUCUUUUGAACUUUAUGUUUUUAAUAAUUUUAAACUAAUUAUAUACUUUUUAAGAACACAAUUUUGAAUAUUUUGUUUAUCAUUCACAUUCAUAAUAAUUUGUAAACUAAGUGAGUAUAAUUGGGCAUUUAUCUCCUAGUAUUGGAUGUUGGUAAAUUGCAAUCAAAUACAUGCCUGGUAAAGGAUUUACAUGUGAACGUUGUUGAGAUAGUGACUAAUAGGAACUACAGUUUUCUCCUCAUCUCUUUGCACAAGCCGAUUGUGAUAUCUUUAUUUUAAGUUAGGGGAAUUUUUUUUUCAUAAAAUAUCAUCAUUUCAUUAAAUCUAUAUUAAUGGUAGAAAUUAUAUCAUCAAAUAUACAUAAAUAUCAAAGAAUAGAUCUGAAAAAAAGAUAGUCCAGAUUUGAAGAAUAAUAAAAAUUACAUUAUAAAACUCCAAAUUUAAAACUCCAGAUGUCUGUGCAUGCUUUUAAUCACCAGAUCUACUGAUUAACUAUUACAAAUCCAGAUAUUAUGGUGAGAUCUGCUGAAUAGAUCCAAGAAAUUCCAGAUCUGAUAAUCAAAAUUUGAAAAAACUCAGAUCUAAGAAAAGAAAAAUGAAAAAUUUAUCAAAAACUCUCACUAAAAAAUUUAGUAAAGAAGACAGUGCUCCCAACUUUCACUUUCAGGUUACUGAAUUACGUCUAGCUAAAUACACGAUACUACAAGGUAAAAUCUAGAGAUUUGGAGAGGAUCAGGGAGACGUGUCGUUCCUUUUGUUUCAAAAUGAAGAGGAAAUGAGUAGCAUUGUCAAGAAUCUUGAAAAAUUUACAGAAAAAGAGUUUCUGGUAGUAAAAGAUGUCAUACAAGACUCGGCAAAUGGAUGCUAUUGGCUUGUUGUUGAAUACGUUACCAGUUUGAUAGUAAUAUAGAAGAUUGAAAUAGUCUAGUCGGGGAAAAAACUUAGCCUGCCAUACAGGCAAAUUCUGAGAUAAAGCUAAUGAAUGUUGUAGCUUGGAUGAUACUAAUGACAUUAUAAGAUAAUUCUAAUCACAAAAUAUGAUACAGGGACAUGAUAAUUGGUUUUCAUAAGUUGCAGGAAAAGGAUACUCAAUAUAGUCCAUGAUAAUUAGUUUCCAUAAGUUGCAGGAAAAGGAUACUCAAUAUAGUCCAAUAUCUUCGUCCCCAAAUAUAUAUUGGACCUGGGACAUGGGAAAUUGGCUCUUUGAGGACCCAUGCACAAUACUUAUUAUACUUGCUUGAUUUCCUUUGUUUAAACAUAUAGACUCUUUGAGGACCCAUGCAUAGUACUUAAAAAUGCACAUACUUGCUUGAUUUCCUUUGUUUAAACACAUGGAUACGCUUGAUUUAACUUAUUGAAAUCAAUAUAGAAAACAAAAUCUAUUUUAAUUAAUUGAAACUUUCUAUAAAAAGUGUCAAAUGCAAAUUUGUUUAGAUAAUUUUGUAAUUUAUUAGAAAAUAAGAAGUUCAUAAUAAAAAAAAAAGAAGAAGUUGAGGAUAAGAUGAAUACAUGGAAUACUAAGUUAAAUUAUUUUAUUAGAACAAUCUACCUAACUAUGUUUUUUUAAAUAUGCUCAUAUGAAUGUUAAACAGUUUCGUAACACGAAAUGUGCUUGCUCGCUCCAUAAUUUGAUAGUACUAGGAGAUUAUGACCAUGCUCGCGCACGGUAGUAAAUUGUAAAUAUGCCCAGGAUCGAAUGAGGAAGUUCUUUAUUAUGUCUAGCCGUAAAACGCAUACUCAAUUCCUUUUCUACAGCCUGGGGAGAAAACAUUGGAGCUACAAGUGUGAGUGUUUGAUACAGCGCAUAUUCUAUUUGCAAGCAUGUGUAAACCGUUGAUGAAACUUCAUCUAUGAAGAAUAUCAUUUUUUAGGGAUGCACAGUGUACAUAUGGAUGAACAUGCAGAAAUGGAUAAUAGAGGAAUAGAUGGAGUUUUCAAACCAAACGUUGGUUAGAAAAGCCAUUAGAAUACAACUAAGUUGCCGCAUCUCCCAUGGUAGAAUACGCAUAAAAGCUAUCAUACCAUGGGAAGUGUUUUUCUGCACCAUGUCUAUCAAAGAUUAGAACAGUGUAGGUAGUAAUGGAUUCAGGAACAAAGACCAAAACUUCUCGAAACUGCAGUUGGUGCUUUGCCACAAAGAUGUUCCAGUUGUCCGUAAACUGCCUUCCACGCAUUGCAAUAGUUAUUGUUUUGUUUCCAGUCCUUAGAGUAAUCAAAGGAGUCUUGCUAUUAUGGACAAACUGAGCAACAAACCUUGGGACUUUCUAGCAUUGUAUGGUGUUAGAGUUAAGAAUGUUAUGAUACAAAGAUGCCAAAUAACUGAAUAAAUCUAUAUAUAAAACUCAGAACGUUAUGCCGAUUCUGUUUGUCAAUGAAUUGACAGAAACACAUGCCUUUGGUUAAAGUUUGUACAAAAUCAGGCCUCAUUGAUGAUGACACUCGCUGCCAUAUCAUUUUUUGCUUCGUAUCACCUGGAAAUUAAAGGACAGUCGCAUGAGGCAAAAAAAAUUAAAAAAUACAAAUGGGCUGAUACAAAACAAAAGCAGUUAACCCUCAACUUCCUAACUCAAGGGAUGGAUGUGACUGCAGUAUAUUAGGUAGAGGAUCUGUCCAUGGCAUGUAUACUUGUUUUUUGUCCUCGCAAAAGUGGAUGACGUCGAAAAUUAGGUGACCAGAAUGUCGAAGCAAGAAAAAGUAGUUUUCCUUGAUGAUGUUGCUGCGGCAAAACUCCUGCCAUCCUUUACCGAAUGACUGCCGAAGAAGCUAGAUAAGCCAUGUUCUAUACCCUUCUCUUAUAGUUAGUUAUCUGGCUACAAUAGUGCUUGAUUAGAAGGGCCUGGAAUUGAAUAGGAACUAUCUGUAGUUCAUAUGUAAAUAUGAGUUGCCUAAGGAACGAUGUGAGAUGGCACUUCAAUUCUUGAGAAUGAGAAAGACCUGAGGCAGCAGGGCAAAAGCAGGAAUAGCAAGACCUGAAAGGAAAACACCAUCCAUCACACAGGAAGUAACAGAGAAGCAAGUGCAAGAAAUUCAUCAAAACAGAUCACAAGAACGAUAGGACAUUUCUCGUAAAAUGUACAACACGAUGGAAAACAAGCAAAGCUGCAGCUGAGGCAGCGAAGUCGACAAAGACACAGCGGCAUGCUAGCCGUUUAGUUUUUUAGUUACUACAAUGCAUUUUUCCAUGGAGGCUAAAAAAACCAAACAACAAGCUACAAAGGAAGGUGAACAGCCAGCAGAAAAGAUACCAAAUAAAGCCGGCAGAAAGCAAAAAACCUUCCACGGACUAGACAAAAAGCAACGCACAGCACAUAUGUCUUUACGAAUGAAUGACAAGACUAAGUAAACAGGCCACAACUGAAAGGAAAAUAAAAGAAAAGAGGCAGUAAUGAUGAUGAGUAUAACUACUGCUCAUAAGAGCACGACAAAAGCGAUAAGCAACAGAAAACUGGAAAGUAGCAAGCUAAGCAGGGAAAAAACUGCAAAAUGGACGGAAACAAGAUACAUACGCUCAAAAAGAAUGGCAAAAAAAGAACAAAACAAGUACCUGACUCGAGUAAUAGUAGCAACAACAACGCUGAUGAGGACGGCAAUAAGAACAAAAAUAGACAGUAGCACAAGUUAGAUGAAGGCAAGAGCAACAGAUAGUGGAAGAAAGCUAACACACGCCAGGCAAGAGAAGAAGACAAAGAAGAUGGCGCAGAGGCUAUAUAAGAAUGAAAAAAUGAAGCCAUGGAUCCUCGUUUCACGGAAUGGCAGAAAGAGAAUCUAUGAAAAGCGGAAAGGCAGAAAGAGAUUCUACGAAAAGCGAAGAAGAGAAUGCACGAGAAGCUUGCAAGAGAAGUCUUGGAAAUGAAAGGAAUUAUUAUAUUGCAAGUAGAGCAAACCUCCGCUACUAAAACAAAGCAUGCCAGCAUAAUUAAACUCUUAAUAAUAACAAUGCAGCCGCCUCUCCGUAGCUGGAGCUCAGAUGAGAGAUUAGCGAUUGCCCUUCCCAAUAUAUGCUCUUCAUGAUAAGCACUUCGUCGUUGACACACUGGCGAUAAAAGCGGAAAGAGUAAUCAUCCCUCCUUAGUCCCAAAGCAGGGGGAAAAAAUGGGGAGGUUGGGUGGGGAAAAAAAAGGAAACAAAACAGAACAUAACUCAUUCUCGCACGUGAAACUCACAUGGAGGACGACCACACUCUCAAACCAUCUUCCCCGUUUAUACUACAUUUCUAAUGAUCCUAUGCAAAUCAUGUGUAACUUCAAUAUCCUUUGCAUAACUUUUUCUUCUUUCAUAGCUUGAAUCCUUGGGAAAAUAUCAUUCUUCAUCUUUUUCAACCAAAGCUGAAGCUAUACAUCAUGAUAGCACAAAAAAAUUACAAAUUAGCCAAAAGAGUAAAGAAACUACAAAUUCUAAAUUUUUAGUGUAUGAUACUCUUGAUUGACUUUCAGUCAAAUAAUUACCCCUCAAAAUUCAUACUUGAAACACCUAUGAUUUUUUCUUUAUUUUAAGAUGUUAUGGUUUCUUUGGAAUACGUAUGGACUUAAAAAAAAAAAGCUAGAAAAGUUUUAUUAAAACUUAAAGUACGAAAGAAAGCAAUGUAUACAUAGGCCUGCCUAAAUAUAGUGAUAAAUCACUCUAUCUUAUUUUUAGAAGGCUUUUGAACCAAAUACCCAAUUUCCCAUAAAAGAUGAACUUAAAAAUAUGAAAAAAGAAAAUUGAGUCAUCCUCGGAUUAAUAAUCCAAAUCAUCUAGUGUUUGGUUGAUUCUAGGUUGGAUAGAAUAUAUUGAAAAAUAAUUCUAUUCUGUGUUUGGUUGGAGAUUGGAUGAGAUAGAUUAUUAUUUUAAUGACCAAAGUACCCCUUAAUUUGUAAGAUCGUUUUAAUAAAAUAAUUUAUAAAUUUAUAAAUUUUAUUAAAAUAAAAUAAUUUUAAACUUUAGAAUUAUAAAGUAAAUCAAGGGCUUUGGUAUAUAAAAAUUUGCAUUCACUUAAAUUCAGCUCAUUCGGGCACUUAAAAAUAGGUUCUAACCUAGUUUCUAAAUCUAAAUUUGAAAUUUAAUUAAACAAUGGGCUGAAUUUUGGCUAAGUUAGGGUUAAGUUGAAUAAAAUCUAAUCCAUUUAAGAGUUUUAAAUGAGCUAAACUCAAGCCAAUAGUAUAUGUUUCUUUAGACCGAAUUUGAGCUUAUUAAAGCCCUCAUUCGUAAAUCCCAACUGAUAAAAUUAUGUAUUUAUAUAGAAUUUGAUUGAGAAAAUAAGGUUAGUAAAGGCAAUAUAGUCCUUUUAUUAUGAUGUAAGUAGGGACAAAUUAGUCAAAAAAUUUGAACUAAUUAAUAGGGGUAAAUUUGUCAAAAAUUUUAAAAUAAUGAAUAGGCACAAAUUAGUCAAAAAUUUUUAAUAUAAUUAGUAGGGGCAAAUUAGUUCAUUUAUUAUUAUAUUAUUGUGUGAGAGUAUGGUUAUAUAAUAUUCAUCAUGAAUAUGUAUCAUUCACAAGGGCAAAUUGGUUCAAAUAUUGUUAUGUUAGUAGUAGGGGAAAAUUAGUCAAAAAACUUUAAAUUAAUUAGUAGGAGUUAUUCAACAGACUUCAAAAAACUAUCCCUAACCUCCCAGUCAAAUUUUUGCAUGUGUAAAAGAAAAUAAUCAAAUCAAGCUCAUGAGCUCUUUCUUUUGUUUAUCCGAUGCUGAAAUUUUUUUAGUAAUUUUUUGUGAUUAUUAGGUAAAAUGAUACUCACCAUUUAAGCCACAGUCAAUAUAUACACUCAAUCAAUUACUUUUAGAAGCAACUGUACUCAUUUUCUCAUUAAAAGAACUAUAGUAAUCACUUCAUAACUAUUCUUCUAUACGUGUAGUUUAUCUUUAACAUUCAAUGAUUUGUUAGAUUAUUUUUCUAUUUUCUUCAUUAAAGAAUUAGUCUUUCCUUGCUAAGUAUCUAAGUUCUGUUUGGAUUGAUCAUUUUUUAAAAAACAAGUUUUUCAAAUACAAUGCUAUAGUAAUACACAAUAAUUCAAAAAACAUUUCAUCCAUACAAUAUAUCAAAUAUUUCAAAAAAUUUUUAUGGUAAAAAUUUUUCAUAUACACUGUUACAAUAAAAUUUUUUAAAAAAACCCCAAAAAAUAACUAAUCCAAAUGAUAGUCUUUCCUUUAUUUCUCCCUCUACUUUUCAUUUAUUACACCAAGUCCAUAAAAUCCUCUCAAAACCCAGGUCAAAUAAUUAAUCUAAGUAAUGAAAUGUUUAAACACUCUAAAGCUUCUCUCGUUUUUUUAGUUUAAAAAGUACAUUUAUCUCUUCCCCGAAAGGACCAAUUUCUCAAUCGUAAUGCAGGCCUCCAAGGCUAAAGGCAGUUUUCAAAAUAUCAGGGGGUUUAACAGCUAUUUGACCGAAUUUCAGGGGUCCUUUGAACAUUACUAUUACCUCUUACAAGUCCUGGAAUUGCAAAUUUGUCUCCCAGUCCUGACAACCCCACCCAACUCUUAAAAACCCGACCCACCCGACUUUCCUAUUUUGGAUAUGGUUGAUUGGAACAUCACCGUUCCCAACGGCAGCAGGGGUCCCGAGCGUAGCAAGAAACGCCAAUCACGAAAAAACCCAGAAGAGGAAGAAGAAGGGAUUCUUUGAUCGUCCUCGGUCAUUGCCAGCGGCCACUAUUUUUCACUUACUCAUGUGGGUUUCUGUUUGUUCUUAAUCUUUUGUAGUCAUAUUUGAUGGGUUCAUGUUUAUUUAUUUUUGUUUCUUUUGAUCCUCUUGGAAGUUUUGUUUGAGAAUUCUUGGUUUUUGAUUUAGCCACUGAAUGUGUUUCAUGUCUGAAUUUUCUGCUCAACUGCCUUCUGGAUAGUGGGAAUUCAAUUCAAUUCAAUUAUGGGCAAUUAACUUAGGCUAGUUAGAUUCAUUUCUGUGAUUAUUAUUUCUUGAUCAGAAAGCUAGUUUCUUUGGUUUUGAUGAACUGAAUUUAGCUUGCUUUGUAUGGAGUCUCAGCAUCUAUUGCUGAAUGUUGUUGUACUCUUUUUCUUGCAGUUAUUAUCAAGUAACGAAAUGCUUUAAACAGUGAGAUUCCCUGGCUAGACAUGGUGUUCGGAUAGUGCAAAGAGUUGAGAUUUUAACUUGAGUGAGUGAUAAAUAAUGUACUUUUUUCAAGGGCCAUCAGCCGCAGCUCGAAAGGUGACAAUGUGUAGAAUGUAAUGGUAAAUUUUUCUCUAGCGAGCUGCCCUUAAGACCUCCUUGGACUUUUUUGAGGCUGGUACUUAAUUAGUUUUAUAGGUGCAGACAUUGAUGCCUGUCAAACAAAAUAGAGAUCUUUAUGAGAGUGAUAAUUGUUUCCUUUGCAGGUUAACUAGCUUAAGUGUACCGCUGGUGAUAUCUUAAAGGAGCAUUUGAAGAUAGGACUGAAGUUGAGUGAUCAAUUGGUACACAGAAAACAUGUCGUUCUCAUUCUUCAAGCCCUCGCGGCCUAAAACUCCACAAGAACUUGCCAAGGCCAUAAGGGACAGUCUUAUGGCUCUCGAUACCAAAACUGUUGCUGAAGUUAAAGCACUUGAGAAGGUCCUAUUUUUUUGUACCUUCUUUUCUCAUUGUUGCUUUAAGUUAAUUUUUUUUGAACCAUGUGUUGAUAGUUAAAGUUCAACAUGGUCAUUCUAGUGAUGCACUCUUCUUUAGAAAAUUAACUCAGUCAUGCUAUUUUUGGAGUUUGUGGAUAAUGCUAAAGAAAUGAUAAUCUCAUGCAGCUGUUGUUUGGACUGAGUUUUCAACUGUGAGUUGUCAUGAUGGAGAAUUAAGUGCCAUAAAUAAAAUAGACAAGGCUUCGGUUGUUUUCAACGUCUGGAUUUGGUCAGUAGAUAAAAGCUUAAACUUUUAAGGAGGCUAUAAUUUCUGCAUUUGGAACACUCACUGUCUUUUUGAGAGUAGAAUUCACUUGUUUUGUUGGUUCAAGUUGUUAUUUUAAGUGUUUUUGUCUUUUACUUGAGCGUGGCUAUAAAUUGUGGGUAAUUGUAUAAUAUGACACGGUGAGAGAUAAGGAAUGUAAUAAAUGUAGUGGUACGAAGCGAUGAAGGUUAGAUUUAGUAUAGAUGAAUUAUUAGAGUCUUCUUUUUUACUGCUUACUCAUACUUUUCUUUACAUUUCUGUAUGAGAAAUUUUCUAUGUCAUCGUUUGGUUUUCCUAACUAAAAAAAUGUUAUUGGGUUGCUUGAGAAGGAUUCCAGACCGAAUAUUUAUUGCAUAUAUGCAGUUAGAAUUUACUCAGUCUGGACAAUACAUGUUGUGCAAAAAUACUAGUGUUAUUAAUUAUUUGAGAAUUCUAGUAAAAAUUCUUAAACUGAAGGGCUCAAUCUCUCAAACGUGCUAUGCAUUCUGCAUAGAUGGCCAAAAUUCCCAAUUCUCUCGAGUUUCCUUCCCCUUGUAUAUCUUAUAGGUUGCAUCAAUUUCUGAUCUGCUGGUUUAAGGAGUAUGCCUCGCUUUUACCUUCACUCAAAUUGAUAUCUGCACUAUUAAUUGCUUUAUCCAGAAGAAAAAGAGAAAAGUUAUUCCAUGAACUAUUUAUUCAGCAAGGUUCUGGAAGCAAUUUUUAACUCCUUGAGGCAACAUUUCUGUGUGUCAAAGGAGAAGGAGCUUUUUUUUUCCCCCUAUUCAUCUGGUAAUUCUCCUUGGUGUUUUUUACUAGUUCAGGAGCACAUCUUGGUUUACAAGGUUUUCCUGAUUCUUAAACGAAUUGCUGAUGUAGUUGCACUUAAUUACUGGGCUAUAAUUUUUCAACUAAUGGACAGAUUUUCAUGUACUUCAGACACAAUGUAGACGGAUUGCUUGAAUUUUUUUUAUAAUUAAAGUAAGGAUAUGAAAAGCUAGUUUCAUGGAAUAUUGUCAUUCAUGUGUUAAUUGUUCCUGUGUCGCACAAUAGAGAAAACGUUGAGCCCUUGAGAAGCUGAAAACUUGAGUAUGGUCCUUGCUUACUAGUGCUAAUAUGAUUGCAAUGAGAUGUCACAUGAUGAUAAUUUGGAAAAGAAGAUGAUAACCUAUUAAGUGCUUCUAGUGCAAAUAAGGGAAAUGGAGACACUGAAUUUUGUAGCAUUUAGUGAAUUGUCGUACCCUUGAUCUGCCAAAUGGUCCUUGCCUUGUCUGAUUUCAUUUUGUAUGAUCCAAUGUGGCUCUUUGUAACAACUUCUUUUAACUUGCUUUACGGAACUCCCCUAAAAAUGUAAGUGAAUCAAAUAAUUCUGGCAAAGUGAUCUAUCAAAAUUCUUGUCUGCCUGCCUCUUGUGUAUGAAGCACGUAUAAUGACUGCUUUAAAAUGCUAUAUAGGCAUUAAACUAUACAAUGUUGAUGUAUCUUAUAGUGUUGUUUCUAACAGGCUAUGGAAGAAGUUGAGAAGAAUAUUAUGACAAUGAGAGCUCUGGUUUCAGGAGAUGGGGAAGUUGAGCCAAAUGCUGAUCAAAUUUCACAAAUGGCAAUUGAAAUUUGUAACGAGGAUGUUAUUUCUCUUUUCAUCCAUAAGUUACCCAUACUGGGAUGGGAUGUAAGUUGUUCAUACUCUAUUCUUCAAAGAGACCUGCUUUAAUAUCUGUUUUAACUUAUUUGCUUUACAAACUUUUCUCAACUUUGCUAGGCUAGAAAAAACUUGGUCCACUGUUGGUCGAUAUUGCUGAAACAAAAGGUUGAUGACAUAUGUUGCUGUGUGCAAUAUAUGGAGAACCACUUGGAGUUGUUAGACUUCCUUGUCGUGUGGUAAGUAUUUACCCUUUCAUGUUGUGUCCUAUCUUCCUCACCCUUUUCCAUGCUUUUUGAACAGUGAAUUGUUUUAUUGCACGAUUUCCCUGAUAGAAAGCUUAUCUUUCCUGCCAACUUAAGGAAGGGACAAAAUGGUAGAUCUAGGUUAUUAAUGCCCCAGUUAAUUCUUCAAAGACAAUGUGGAUUUGAGUGUAAUAUCUGCAAUGGUAUUAAAACACAGAUCAAUCUUGUAAUGAUUAGCUGGUUGAAACUCAGCAGAACAAUUGAAUGUCCACUCUCAAGUCUGAAAAUGCAUUUGGUAUUUAGUUAUUUAUCAUUUAAUUGGUUAUCUAACAAAAUUAGACAAAAAAAGAAAAAGGAAAAGAAAGGAGUCAUUCAGAUAAUUCUUUAUUUACAUCCUGCUACCAAGGUUCAUAGCAACUAAUGUCUCAAAUGUGGUUCAGUUCUGUAAGAGUUUCCAAGUGCAAUGAGUACAUGGAUUUUGAACUAAUUAAUGAAUUUUUCUUUUAUAAGUUGAUAAACUUUAAUAACAAGGUGUAGCGGAUAAAGCCUUAUCAUCGACAAUAGUCAAUGAACACUAGGUCUUAAAGCCAAUAAAAGUCAUAUACUAUUGCAUUUGUUAGAGUAGGAUGGAUGAUCUAAACUACCAAAAACAAAAUAAAUAUCAGUGCUUGCUAUAACUUCAAAGAAAAAUUUUCUAUCACAUCUCUAAAUUGUAUGUCUUUUUUAGCAGAAGCAGAUCGUAGCCAGUCGGUCAUAAUUUUAUAGAGUUCUAUUGCUGUUUCCCUACUUUGUCUACGUCAACCAACUAAUAUGAUCUGGACUUUAUCCAGAUAAACUGACAGGCACUUAAGAAGUUUAAGUACCAUGAGCCAAUCCUUGUUACCCCUGAAUAAUUAAUCAACAAGCUUUUUAUACAUGAAAUUAUAUAUCUUUCUUUUGUUUUUCUCAACCUUUUAGCAGUGAUAAAUGUGUCCUUAACUAGCACAGAGAGCUAGCAAGGCUAACUUGGAGUGAUUCAUUGGAAUCUUUCAUUCUUUCUCUUCGUUAUUAUGAUGCAGUGAUAGGAAAAUAUCACUGCUAAGAUAUUGCAUUCAACAUUUAUCUUCACUUUCCUAAGAUUGUUGCUUGAAAUGCUGUUUAUUAGUUCGCUAAAAGCCUCCAAUACCUAGUGUUGUAAGGGUCUUUUAAAGUCAAAAAGCUACAUCCAUCCUUUUAGCCAGAUGUUUCAGCGCUUCAUGCAUUUAAUCUAUUAGUAGUUUAGGUUGAAUGUUAUUUUCUGACAUGUUGCCUCUUGUUAUCUUUGUGAGCAGCUACGACAACAAGGAAAUUGCCUUGCAUUGUGGGAGUUUGUUGAGGGAAUGCAUCAAAAGACCAUCUCUUGCAAAGUAAGAAAUUAAAGUUCUUGGACUGCCCUGAUUUUCCAACAAUAAAUGACUGUGGUAGAAUGUUAAUAGAUAAACAAUUAGGAGACAUGGCAUAAAAGAUAGCUUUCUGUCCCACACACAUCUCUCUCUCCCCCUCUCCCGCUUCAUCUCUCUCUCUCUCUCACUCUCUCUCUAUCUCUCUCUCUAUCUUUAUAUAUGUGUGUGUGUGUGUUGUGUGUAAAUAAUAGAAUUCCUGGAAUCUAGAAAAUGGAAAUCUAAAGCCUUUUGUCCUUUGUUUUUUAUUCCCAACCUAUAAUGGUCAUAUUGUCAGCAUCUGCAUUCAUGGGAGAAAAAAGUCAAUGGCUGUCACUGAAUCUUGCAACACAUAUUUCAUUGUUCAAUUUCCUUCUUUUCUUGGGAAAUUUUUUCCCAUUGUAUUCUGUUUCAUGGCAUAUGUGAUGUUCAUACUAACAAUUCUUCAGUAGAAUCCUUUCAGGUACAUAUUGGGGUCUCCAAGCUUUGAGUUAUUCUUCAAAUUUGUAGAGUUGCCGAACUUUGAUGUCUCUUCUGAUGCAUUUUCUACUUUUAAGGUUGGAUAUAUGCAUAUAUGAUUUCUGGUUUAAGCAGUGUUUAUUGUUAGUUUUUUGCAUUUUUUGCUUAUAUUUGUAAAAGCUUUGUUCAGGAUCUACUAACUAAACAUGAAUCAUCUGUUGCUGAGUUCUUGUCUGCUCACUACAAUGAGGUUAGUUCCUCCUUUCCAGCUUACUGAUUGACAGAAUAGUUCCUUUAAUUGGAAUAGAUCAAAUGUGAAACAAAAAUCACUCUUCAUUCAUGCGUAAUGGAAGUAUUUAUCUCAAAAGUAGAACUGCUUCUGUUAUUCUUUUUCUUCUUUGCCUUUUGAUUUACUAAACAAUUUGUUUUUCCAGUUCUUUGAGCACUAUGAAACACUUUUGACCUCUAAGAAUUAUGUGACAAGAAGGCAGUCUUUGAAGGUUGGUGCUCCGUUUAUUUGAUAAUUUAAUACUUGUAAUACUCCUGGUUGUCACUUAGUCUAAUGCAAAUUGAAUUUCAGCUUCUCUCAGAAUUUUUGUUGGAGCCUCCAAAUACCCAUAUUAUGAAGCACUACAUUACAGAAGUCCGCCACUUGAAAAUCAUGAUGACAUUACUGAAGGUUUUUGUUACUAUUUCUCAUUACCUCUAGGACGAACAGCUGCUCCAUUUGCAAGAUCAAUAUGUCAUCUUAAUAAGAAACAAGAAUUGGAUUUGUGGAUAUUUGAGAAUGAUAUGAGUGUAAGGGAAGAAUAAUGAUUUCUGCACAAUGUGCUGCCUUCUAAAAAUAUCUAGAUGUUCAUUGACUCUAUUAUUACAAAAAGUUGCAUAGUCUAAAUUUCUUAUUAAACUGUGUUUCAAUGUAUAGAUAUAGAUGUAUAUAUUCUCAGGUUUUAUCUUAAAGAAAAGGUCUAAAAUGCUGUCUAGGAAUCUCCCAAAGUUGUCUUGGAUGGUCCUUAUCAAGCAGUUUCCAUGUGACCCAAACUGCAGGCAUCUAAAAAUGGUUCUUGGUACCAUAAAAUAACUGUUUAUUUUUAUGCCAUCUCAAGUGAUGUGCUAAAAAUCCCAAAUAUGUUACAAGGUUUGAUGGAGGCGUGUUUCCUUUCCAGGUAGUUAUAACUGCAUGAAUUUCAGGGCAGUUGCGAGGGACAAAAAUUACUUCUCAGCAAUAAAGUUGGGAAAAGCAGAAUAUUUUUUAAUUGUUGUUGCAUCAGUUGCUGACCACUUAAUAUCCACUUUCCCCAGGCUGGAAAACUGGUUUUGAUUUGCAUUUAUGAUCGAUAACAAUUUUUUUAAUAUUGUAUGCAGGAUUCAAGCAAAAACAUCCAGAUUUUGGCUUUUCACAUUUUCAAGGUGCUCAAAUUUUCCUUUCUUACUGACUGCUGGUUUUGAUCCCCCUUGGAAAUGGUAAAUUAACAAUAAUAGCGCCUCCAUUGAGAGGUGGAAGAUUUGGUAAGAGAGUUUCUCUCUCAAAUUUUAUGAGGUCUCAUUUCCCCAAAAACUUUUUGAUAGAAGAGCCAUAAGGAUCUCAGUCUGAGCAAGACACUAAGGGAAAAUACUCGAGUGAAAACAAACCACACUAGUAUCCAUGGCUUAGGAUAAGCAAAGCUUCUGUGCCUAAAGGGGUUCUUUAUGUAUAAAAUAUUGAUGUGCCAUGGUAUGUGUGUUUGAUGUAGAACAAAUUGUAUAAUACAUGCAUAAUUAAGAUGCUUAUAUGUACAUAUAAUAUUAUUCGACUUGCAUAUUUUUGCUGUUAUAACCCAGAAGAAAAAACUAGAAGGAUGGUUGAUAACAAGCUAGUUACAACUCUGCAGAACAAAAACCUCUUGUGCUUUAUCAAUUAGUAGUUGAUGUUGUUAUUUGAGUAGCUAAGUUUGUCUUGGCAUUAAAUCCCAAUGCCACCUACUUUGAUAAUUUUAUAAGCUGUGCCCCUUGCAGAAGAAGCUGAAUUACAUGAUACGACAUGAUUAUGGUUCAUGCUCUUCAUUUGUUUUUGUGUGUGUGUGUGUAUGUGUUUUUUUUUUCUUUUUCCACGGGAGUUGCAAAGUUUUAUCCUUUUCAAAUCAUAUGUCCCAAGAAAGGAGCAACGUGCCAGGUGCAUCAGGCUUGUCCUUGUAUGAGUCUUAUUUUACGUGAAGCAUUUGGAUUUUUGUCGUGUGCUUAGAGUAGCAGCAGAGAGAUCAUACUGCUACAGGGCAAACUGUAAAAUAUUUCCUGCUAAUAUGUGCACAGAAAGGAUAUGCUUUGCCCAGGGUGCAUCCCAUGGAAAAAUAUAUGUAGGCUUAGUGCAGGAAUCUGAAGUUUUUG
rnacentral:lncRNA from 1 species